rnacentral:lncRNA from 1 species
GCUCAUCUUGGCUCCCAGGGGGAGGGGGAAGGGGAGGGGGUAGUUUUCAGGAAUAGCAGGCCACAAUGGGAGAUUUUGGGGGUUUUGAAAUGUUUUUAAGGAAAAACUAGAGAGAGGGGACCGAGGACAAGGAGCCCCUCGCUAGUCUCUCUUGCCCUUAAUGAGUGGGUCUUAAGAAGGGGGUCACGAGGGCCGAGGCACUUCACUGGAAAAAGU